CCCCCAGAAGUAUCUGCAGGAGACUUACCUGACGAACUUCCACCUGAAUUGUCACCAUAUGUGAUUCAGCAGCUGGAUGAAUUAGUUGGGGUUCCUCAUCCUGCUCGCAUCCCAUUGACACAGCCUCCUAAGAAAUCAGAGCUCGGUAAUGAUGUUACAGAUACAGAUCCCCCAAAAGAACAAGAUAAAGCUACUGUCAAGAAAGGUCUAAAUGAAGUUUUGAUUAAUGUAAAUGGCGUUUCCAAAGAGGGACGUACUAACAUUCAUCGUGCUGUCAAAGCCAAAUAUGCAUCAGUAGUGAGUUGCUACAAGGAGAGUGAUGAUGGCAAUAAAUAUAUUGUUAUUCAGAAAAAGA